rnacentral:rRNA from 1 species
GACGAACGCUGGCGGCGUGCCUAAUACAUGCCAGUAGGACGCAGUUGCGAACGGGAGAGUAACGCGUAGGUAACUACCUAUUAGAGGGGGAUAACUAUUGGAAACGAUAGCUAAUACCGCAUACUAGUAGAUGGACCUGCGUUGUAUUAGCUAGGAGGUAGGGUAAUGGCCUACCUAGGCAAAGAUACAUAGCCGCCCGGAGAGGGUGAUCUGCCAAACUGGGAAUUAGAAACGGCCCAUACGCCUACGGGAGGCAGACGUAGGGAAUCUUCGGCAAUGGGGGGAACCUUGACCGAGCAACGCCGCGUGAGUGAAGAAGGUUUUCGGAUCGUAAAGCUCUGUUGUUAAGGAAGCGGUACUUAACCAGAAAGGGACGGCUAACUACGUGCCAGCAGCCGCGGUAAUAC